UACGGGGGGGGUAAGCGUUGUUCGGAAUUACUGGGCGUAAAGGGCUCGUAGGCGGCCAACUAAGUCAGACGUGAAAUCCCUCAGCUUAACUGGGGAACUGCGUCUGAUACUGGAUGGCUUGGAUCCGGGAGAGGGAUGCGGAAUUCUCGGUGUAGCGGUGAAAUGCGUAGAUAUCGAGAGGAACACCUGCGGCGAAGGCGGGUUGCUGGGCCGACACUGACGCUGAUGCACGAAAGCUAGGGGAGCAAACAGG
rnacentral:rRNA from 1 species